GACGAACGCUGGCGGCGUGCUUAACACAUGCAAGUCGAACGGAAGGGCCCUGCUUUUGUUGUGUUCUUGAUUGGCGAACGCGUGAGUAACACGUGAGUAACCUGCCCUUAACUUUGGGAUAACUUCAGGAAACUGGGGCUAAUACCGCAUAGGAUCUCCUGCUGCAUGGUGGGGGUUGGAAAGUUUCGGCGUUUGGGGAUGGACUCGCGGCUUAUCCGCUUGUUGGUGGGGUAGUGGCUUACCAAGCCUUUGACGGGUAGCCGGCCUGAGAGGGUGACCGGCCACAAUGCGACUGAGAUACGGACCAGAAUCCUACGGGACGCAGCGGUCGGGAAUAUUGCACAGUGGGCGGACGCCUGAUGCAGCAGCGCCGCGUGCGUGAUGACGGCCUUCGGGUUGUGAACAGCUUUCGAAUGUGACGAAGCGUGAGUGACGGUAAUGGGUAAAGAAGCACCGGCUAACUACGUG
rnacentral:rRNA from 1 species